CAAUAGCGUAUAUUAAAGUUGUUGCGGUUAAAAAGCUCGUAGUUGGAUUUCUGCUGAGAACGACCGGUCCGCCCUCUGGGUGUGUAUCUGGCUCUUUCUUGGCAUCUUCUUGGUGAACGUUGCUGCACUUGACUGUGUGGAGCGCUACCCAGGACUUUUACUUUGAGGAAAUUAGAGUGUUUCAAGCAGGCAUACGCCUUGAAUACAUUAGCAUGGAAUAAUAAGAUAGGACCUCGGUUCUAUUUUGUUGGUUUCUAGAGCUGAGGUAAUGAUUAAUAGGGAUAGUUGGGGGCAUUCGUAUUUAACUGUCAGGGGUGAAAUUCUUGGAUUUGUUAAAGACGGACUACUGCGAAAGCAUUUGCCAAGGAUGUUUNCAUUGA
rnacentral:rRNA from 1 species